CAGGAAUUAGUUUUAUUAAAAUAUUGGUUUUGGAGACCAAAGAUAGGAUAGUUUCUAUUCCUGA
rnacentral:tRNA from 1 species